rnacentral:rRNA from 1 species
AUUGAACGCUGGCGGCAGGCCUAACACAUGCAAGUCGGGCGGUAACAGGGAGAAGCUUGCUUCUCUGCUGACGAGCGGCGGACGGGUGAGUAAUGUAUGGGGAUCUGCCUGAUGGCGGGGGAUAACUACUGGAAACGGUAGCUAAUACCGCAUAAUGUCUUCGGACCCAAGCGGGGGACCUCAGGGCCUCGCGCCAUCAGAUGAACCCAUAUGGGAUUAGCUAGUAGGUAAGGUAACGGCUUACCUAGGCGACGAUCCCUAGCUGGUCUGAGAGGAUGAUCAGCCACACUGGGACUGAGACACGGCCCAGACUCCUACGGGAGGCAGCAGUGGGGAAUAUUGCACAAUGGGCGCAAGCCUGAUGCAGCCAUGCCGCGUGUAUGAAGAAGGCCUUCGGGUUGUAAAGUACUUUCAGUCGGGAGGAAGGUGUCAAGGUUAAUAACCUUGGCAAUUGACGUUACCGACAGAAGAAGCACCGGCUAACUCCGUGCCAGCAGCCGCAGUAACAC